CACAACGCUGGCGGCAUCUUACGCUUAACAGUCGAACGAGAUCUUCGGAUCUAGUGGCGCACGGGUGAGUACGGAACCUACCAUUCUGUACGGAAUAACGCUUGGAAACGAGCGCUAAUACCGUAUACGCCCUGUGGGGGAAAGGUCCGCCGCAGAAUGAGGGGCCCGCGUCCGAUUAGUUUGUUGGUAAGGUAACGGCUUACCAAGACUACGAUCGGUAGCUGGUCUGAGAGUGAUGAUCAGCCACACUGGGACUGAGACACGGCCCAGACUCCUACGGGAAGCAGCAGUGGGGAAUAUUUGGACCAAUGGGGGGGCAACCCUGAUCCAGCAAUGCCCGGUGUUUUAAUGAAGGCCCUAGGGUUUGUACAAGCACUUUCCAUUGGUGAAGA
rnacentral:rRNA from 1 species